CAGGAAGUCAAAAAAGAUCAUCAAGGACAACAACCACCCGAGCCAUGGCCUGUUCACCCCGCUACCAUCCAGAAGGCGAGGCCCCCAGAAAGCAAAGAAGAGAGCAGAGGGAGCCAACUCCAAUGUGUUCUCUCCAUGUUUGAACAGGCCCAGAUCCACGAGUUCAAAGAAGUGCAGACCCAGAGGACACCAUCCUCAAUGCCUUCAAAGUCUUUGAUCCUGAGGGGAAGGAGACCUUGAAGAAGGACUUAUGGAGCAGAUGUUCACCACCUUCCCUCCAGAUGUGGCUGGACACCUGGACUUCAAGAAUCUGGUCUACAUCAUCACACAUGGGGAAGAGAAGGACCAUGAAUAAAUCCACCUCUUGCUAACUGUCCUUGCAUCUCUUCUGUUACACGUCGCCCCGCUGCGCAUCAAAGCUAUCUGGAAAUGUUUGAGAUGUGCAUGAUCAUCU
rnacentral:lncRNA from 1 species